UAAAAAAGAUCUUGUUUAUUUUACAGUAUGUACAGUCAUUAAUGUAUCCAAAAAGCUUUACCACAUCAAGAAUUUACAUCAUACAUCACUUAGAGCCAAUUUGUCUGAUUAGUGUUUGAAUUCACAACAAAAUAUGCAGAAAACAUUUGUUUUGUUUAGAAAAUGCAUUGUACAAGUCAUGGGAUCUACCUGAUGCACUGUAUGUUCCCGUCUCGCCCUAAAUUCUAACGGGGGUGGCUGUAUGUUUUAUAUGGAGGACUGCAGUAAGGUCCACAUCCAAUAAUUACUUCUGCUGCUAUCCUUUCCAGUUCGUUUGUCUCUGCUAGAGACCUGUAUAUCAUUGCCUCAAGCAGCGAAUGGCCAAUAUAUAAGCAACAAACCUAAAGGGCAAGUACAGAUCUAUUUAGGGUGUGGUACGGGGAAAAGAUCUGCCUGGAUUGGAUUUCUCACACAGUAACAGCUUCACAACCCAAACUACAUUUGUGUUGGCAAAACAGACAUCCAACUGGCAACCCUUAAUGUAUGUGAUGUACCCCAUGUACACUUCUGCUUCCUGCAGCACCACAACACAGCAUUCAGUAUAUAUGGGAACUAUAUAUACCUGCCUUUCAUCCUCUCUAUUCUUUCUCUAUAAGAAGCUUACGCUGACCUUUAUGAUACAAUUCAUGUCCUGUUUUAUCUGGUUGACAAGGAAUGAAGAACCAUAAAUAUAUCAUCUUAGUAUUGCCCCCUGGUGCAUUAGGCUGCCAAAACGCUGGGAGAGCUGCUCCUUUGGCAAGGUCUGUGAAUGAGCAGAUCUUAGCAACCCAGCUGUUCCAAUUGAUUAGAUCACAUAUGGGGGCCUGUGCAGACUCAACAGGUAAGGGUGCAGAUGUAGUCAUCUGAAUGAAAUGUGGCUGAGUCUUAAAUAAGGGUUAGUGAGGCCCUUGUCUUAUGAGCCCCUUGUCUUAUGAGCCAAUAAGCUGCAGAUUGCCAAGAGUGGCCAAGUCAGCCGGCUGUAUCAGCCUAUGUAUGCCCAGCUUUAUACCUUACUGUAGGAGCAAGUACCUUAUGUGCUGGAAAUGCGGCAUUCACAAGGGAAGAACAUCACUUUCUCCUAAGUAACAGCAAACACAAAUAUCCAUUUUUAAGAGGGAGAAACACUUCCUUAAAAGGUUGGAUUUACUUCCUGGAAGUAUUUAUGAACUGCAUCUGCCGAUUUGUUUUUUUUCAGAUACAUUUGAUAAUUUCUACUUAUAUUACUGAAACAGUUUAAUAGUGUGCUUUCGCAACCUAACCUGCUGCAAACAACUUCCAAUGCUUUUUGGCAAAUGAAAUUCCAAAUCACAGACUUGGGUGGGGCCAGUUUGUGAGAUCAGGGGUAUCACUAUCUGACACAAUUGUAUUGUACAACCAUGCAACCAUUUGGGGACUCACAGAGCAAUAACUAUAGAAGUAGCCAUGCCUCAGAUAUGGGAAUCAGCUGAUUUGCACAGCAAUAUUAUUCCCAUUUAUCCUUCAUUACUCUUUCAGUUCUUGACCAAUUAAAGGUCUCAAGUGCCUUAUCAGGCAAAUCAGUUACCUCUGUCUCACUGUGCCUGACUGAGUUGCUGGUUGGAGCUAAUCAUGUGUGGGUUAAUGACAGUCUCAGCAAAUAGCUUUAAAGGACAAGUCAAGCCCAAAAAUAAUUUUUUGCCUAAUAAAAGUAGACCA